CUGAAUUUUGCUAACUGAGCAAAUGACGCUAAAUCUAAACACGUCAAACAUGACAUAAAUAUCAUUUGGCUACAUGUUCUCACUUUCCACCAAACGGCUCAGGAAUGACUGCUAGUGAAAAGUUUAACAGCUGAUUAUCUUGCUAAAAUGUUUAUGCAAUUCCUCUUCCUAAAAAUUUUACCUAAUAAUAAAGCUCUAAUUAUUACCACAGUGCUCUAUCCGGUCCUCAUGCUGAAGGAAUCCCCAGAAGAAUCUUUGUGUCCCCAUAAAAUCAGGUGAGAGGGCUCCUGGCUGUCCUGAAAACCUCUUGCUGUACAGAAUUGCAUCCCCAAAGUCUCUCGACUGCAAGCACCUCUCUGCAGCAGUGCUGUGGUGAACGAUGGCAUCAGGAGGCAGUACAGAGAAUGCGGUGACCAGGCUACUUUGGAACACCCUGACGUUCCUGGGGAAGCAUGACUUCCUGAAAUUCAAGAGGGAACUCAGUAAUAUCCAGCCCAAGGAGAGGCAUGAGCGCAUUGAGCUGGAGAGCAUGUCACCAGCUGCGCUCGCCAGCCUGCUGUACAGACACUAUGGGCGGUCCCACUGCGUGGAGGUGACAACAGAUGUGCUGAGGGCCAUGGGAUUGACAUGCUGGGCUGAUGAUCUCCUGGACAAUCUGCAAACAGGGGACAAGGUUUGUUGAGCAGAACAAAGAGGUUCUAAUCCGGCGAGCCUACAGGGAGGGAGAGAUCAUCAAGGAACUCCUCCAGGAAGGUGUGCUGAGCUCCAAGCAGCAUGACAGCAUCAUGGCAGAGAGCACCAACCAGAAGAGAAUGCAGAAGCUCUAUGAACUGGUGCCGAUGUGGGAUGUCACAGCCAAAUAUUGUCUGUACAAGGUGCUGAUGAGAAAUAAUCCCUCCCUCUUCUUGGAAUAUGCAGGUAAGAAUGCCACUUGAUUACUUUUGCAGUUGAGAAGAAGUCUAGAGAGAGGGCAAGCCUUCAGGAGAAAGGGAGGACCACAGGCGCAUCUACACGCCUUUGUCCUUGGGAUGGACAGGAGGCAUUUGUAUGGGAGCUACUGCUCAACAGCUGCGGGCACAAGUAGUGGAGGAUGCAAAGAGCACAUGAGGAAGACCUAUUCUUGGGCAGAGGUAAUUCUUUAACCCUAGAUUUAUUCAACUCACCACUGUCUCCCAUCUCUAGGAGAUGAUUUUACUCCCCAUUGCUCAGCAUUUGAAGGCUGGAUAGAAUAUCAGGCUCCCAGGAUAUCUGAUACACGAGGUGAGCUCUGAGCUGCUGAGCAUUGUCACUUCCUUUGCUGAACCACAUCACCUUCUGCACACGGCCUCCCAUCCCUCCAGAAAUACCCUUCCAAAAGCACGUCUGGCUUGGGCUCUCCACUUUUUCCUUCUGUAUACAGGGCAGGGACCUGGCUCCAACAGAGCUCUUCAGGUUAAGAAAGUCAGAAAUAUUUCUGACACAUAUACUAUCAUGACUGAUAAGACAGAGGUACAGGGAUGUUGUAGCCAAGCAAUGUAGGAGGCCUAUGAUUAGCCACUGAUCACAUAGAUCAGCCAAGAUUAAUUCAAAUUCCAGGCACUCCUGGCACUUCAGAUGUCUAAGGAUCUGGAUAGUUCUUGCCUUUUGACCUCUCUUAUGCACUAAUGAUGGCAGGAUAAUGAUGGAAAUGGCAACGCAGCAAGGACAAGAAGAAUUAUUGCAGCUCUUAGGGCCAGAGGGAGGUAGGUGCUCACUCCUUACCUUUCAGCUUCAUUCGGUGGCACAGCUUCAAAACUGAGAGAACAGCUGGGGAAGCUGUUUCCAUUCACAAAACCUGCACGUCCAGAACACGAGCCUUUUGAUGUGGAGAGCAGCAGCGGCACAGGCUCAGGUCCCAAAUGCAUGGCAUGCUCAAGUCCAGAGGUAAGAUGCUGUGCUCCCCUGCUCAGUUCAGAGUGGUUUUCCAGGGCACCCUUGCACACAUCUGUCUCUGGUGAUUACUCACCAGGGAUUCAGAG